rnacentral:rRNA from 1 species
AGCGAACGCUGGCGGUAGGCCUAACACAUGCAAGUCGAACGGCAGCACAGGAGAGCUUGCUCUCUGGGUGGCGAGUGGCGGACGGGUGAGGAAUACAUCGGAAUCUACCUUGUCGUGGGGGAUAACGUAGGGAAACUUACGCUAAUACCGCAUACGACCUUCGGGUGAAAGUGGGGGACCGCAAGGCCUCACGCGAUUAGAUGAGCCGAUGUCGGAUUAGCUAGUUGGCGGGGUAAAAGCCCACCAAGGCGACGAUCCGUAGCCGGUCUGAGAGGAUGAUCAGCCACACUGGAACUGAGACACGGUCCAGACUCCUACGGGAGGCAGCAGUGGGGAAUAUUGGACAAUGGGCGCAAGCCUGAUCCAGCCAUACCGCGUGGGUGAAGAAGGCCUUCGGGUUGUAAAGCCCUUUUGUUGGGAAAGAAAUCUUGCCGGUUAAUACCUGGCGAGGAUGACGGUACCCAAAGAAUAAGCACCGGCUAACUUCGUGCCAGCAGCCGCAGUAACAC